rnacentral:lncRNA from 1 species
GCAUUACUUACUAGAUCACAAGCCACUUUGUGCGGAUGGGCCCAUUUUCUUACACCUGGAAUGAUCCCAAAAGCAUUAUCCAUGAUCAUCUUUCAAGGGUAUCUACCUGAUGGAUGUUGGGUCCUUACAGCAGGGAGAAGAUGCACUCAUCUUUGUAUUUCUAGCACCUAUCACAGGACUGGAAAAGCUGGCCAUCAGAUAAAUGUAAGUGAAGGUGGUGCAAAAGGACUUUAUAGAUGCUGAAGGCAUGUCAUUGCUGACCAGGAUGUUUUCUACAGUAAUUCCAAGCUAGAAUGGGGCUGCCUUUUUUAAGAGAUCUCAGGAAUUAUCCUGGGAAAUUUUAGACAAGGCAAAUGAAGUGGAGUGAAACUUAAAAUGUACAAAUAGUCAUUUUUCCAUAAAUGGUCUCUGUGUGUAUAAAAGACAAUAUCUUAUAUGUUAUGCUACCAAUGCAUAUUGCAAUAAUACAGGUGACCUUUUAAGAAUACAUUACGUGGUUACUUGUUAAGUAUCUAUUGUCUUUAGAGGUACGUCCGGGAAUUUUAAAAGGUGCACUUCUAAAAAAAUAAAUUUAAUUGAUGUAGCA